rnacentral:misc_RNA from 1 species
UUAAGUUCAGCGGGUAUCCCUACCUGAUCCGAGGUCAACCUUGAGAAAAGUUCAGAAGGUUCGUCCGGCGGGCGACGCCUUACGCUCCGAAGCGAGGUGUAUUCUACUACGCUUGAGGCAAGACGCCACCGCCGAGGUCUUUGAGGCGCGCCCGCAAAGGACGGUGCCCAAUACCAAGCAGAGCUUGAGGGUUGAAAUGA